GUAGGUGGCAAGCGUUGUCCGGAAUUAUUGGGCGUAAAGCGCGCGCAGGCGGUUCUUUAAGUCUGAUGUGAAAGCCCACGGGCUCAACCGUGGAGGGUCAUUGGAAACUGGAGAACUUGAGUACAGAAGAGGAAAGCGGAAUUCCACGUGUAGCGGUGAAAUGCGUAGAGAUGUGGAGGAACACCAGCGGCGAAGGCGGCUUUCUGGUCUGUAACUGACGCUGAGGCGCGAAAGCGUGGGGAGCAAACAGGAUUAGAUACCCUGGUAGUCCACGCCGUAAACGAUGAGUGCUAAGUGUUAGGGGGUUUCCGCCCCUUAGUGCUGCAGCUAACACAUUAAGCACUCCGCCUGGGGAGUACGGCCGCAAAGGCUG
rnacentral:rRNA from 1 species